CUCGCCCGGCUGGAGAGGUGACGGGCGGCUAUUGAGGCUCUUGCCAUAGCCGCCCGUCACCUCUCCAGCUGGGAGAGCCGCGCGGGGCUGCUGGAGAGGUGACGGGCGGCUAUGGCAAGAGCCUCAAUAGCCGCCCGUCACCUCUCCAGCCGGGAGAAG